rnacentral:rRNA from 1 species
AUAUCAGUAAGCGGAGGAAAAGAAACUAACAAGGAUUACCUCAGUAGCGGCGAGUGAAGAGGUAAAAGCCCAAGAUGUAAAUCUAACCGUAAGGAAAGAAUUGUAAUCUAUAGGGAUUCCCGGAAGAAGUACAUGUGUCAUAAGUUACCUGGAAAGGUAUACCAUAGAGGGUGAUAGUCCCGUCUUUGGAUACAUGAACUCGUACGGGGGUCUUCUAAGAGUCGGGUAGUUUGGGAAUGCUGCCCUAAUUAGGAGAUAAACUUCUUCUAAGGCUAAAUAUUUAUAGGAGACCGAUAGCGCACAAGUA